ACCGCUUCUCAGCCUUUUGGCUAAGAUCAAGUGUGAUGUUAGAGCAUUUUUAUUUCAUGCUAUGAAUGUCUUAUAAAUGGAAAAGCUUUAAUUAAAUUCGUAAAUUUCGGAAAAAAAAUGUUUUCUUUUUUUUUCUUUUUUCGGAAAUUCGGGAAAUGUACGAAAUUCCGAAUUUUCGAAUUUCG